rnacentral:rRNA from 1 species
UCUGGUGAUGAUGGCGAAGAGGUCACACCCGUUCCCAUGCCGAACACGGAAGUUAAGCUCUUCAGCGCCGAUGGUAGUUGGGGGCUUCCCCCUG